CCCUUAGAUGUUCUGGGCCGCACGCGCGCUACACUGACGGAGGCAGCGAGCAUGUCCUUCGCCGAGAGGUGUGGGGAAUCUUGUGAGUCUCCGUCGUGCUGGGGAUAGAUGGUUGCAAUUGUCGAUCUUGAACGAGGAAUUCCUAGUAAGCGCGAGUCAUCAGCUCGCGCUGAUUACGUCCCUGCCCUUUGUACACACCGCCCGUCGCACCUACCGAUUGAAUGGUCCGGUGAAGCCUCCGGAUUGGCGCGCACCUCGGUGCCGCCGAGAAGUUGGCUAAACCUUACCAUUUAGAGGAAGGUGAAGUCGUAACA
rnacentral:rRNA from 1 species